UACGGAGGGAGCUAGCGUUGUUCGGAAUUACUGGGCGUAAAGGGCGCGUAGGCGGUUCGUACAGUCAGACGUGAAAUUCCUGGGCUCAACCUGGGGGCUGCGUUUGAUACGUGCGGACUUGAGUGCGGAAGAGGGUCGUGGAAUUCCCAGUGUAGAGGUGAAAUUCGUAGAUAUUGGGAAGAACACCGGUGGCGAAGGCGGCGACCUGGUCCGAUACUGACGCUGAGGCGCGAAAGCGUGGGGAGCAAACAGG
rnacentral:rRNA from 1 species